CAGAAACGCGUUAUCCGGAUCUUGGGUUUAAAGGGGGCGGACUAAUAAGUAGUGGUGAAAGUCUGCAGCUCAACUGUAGAAUUGCCAUUGAUACUGUUAGUCUUGAGUCAUUAUGAAGUGGUUAGAAUGAGUGGUGUAGCGGUGAAAUGCAUAGCUAUCACUCAGAAUACCGAUUGCGAAGGCAGAUCACUAAUAUGUACUGACGCUGAUGGACGAAAGCGUAGGUAGCGAACAGGAUUAGUCCCUGGU
rnacentral:rRNA from 1 species